rnacentral:rRNA from 1 species
CUUGGUCAUUUAGAGGAAGUAAAAGUCGUAACAAGGUUUCCGUAGGUGAACCUGCGGAAGGAUCAUUAAAGAGAUCAUGCCCUCACGGGUAGACCUCCCACCCUUUGUUUACAAUACCUUUGUUGCUUUGGCGGGCCCGUUUGGCCCCGCGCUGAACAACCGGCCCCGGCUGGUCAGUGCCCGCCAGAGAACCGAAAACUCUGAAUUAAAUGUCGUCUGAGUACUAUGUAAUAGUUAAAACUUUCAACAACGGAUCUCUUGGUUCUGGCAUCGAUGAAGAACGCAGCGAAAUGCGAUAAGUAACGUGAAUUGCAGAAUUCAGUGAAUCAUCGAAUCUUUGAACGCACAUUGCGCCCUCUGGUAUUCCGGGGGGCAUGCCUGUUCGAGCGUCAUUACAACCCUCAAGCUCUGCUUGGUAUUGGGCUACACCCGACUGGGUGGGCCUUAAAAUCAGUGGCGGUGCCAUCUGGCUCUAAGCGUAGUAAUUCUUCUCGCUCUGGAGAUCUAGGUGUUUGCUUGCCAGCAACCCCCAAUUUACCAAAGGUUGACCUCGGAUCAGGUAGGGAUACCCGCUGAACUUAAGCAUAUCAAUAAGCGGAGGA